rnacentral:rRNA from 1 species
AGAGUUUGAUCCUGGCUCAGAUUGAACGCUGGCGGCAUGCCUUACACAUGCAAGUCGAACGGCAGCACGGGUGCUUGCACCUGGUGGCGAGUGGCGAACGGGUGAGUAAUAUAUCGGAACGUACCCUAGAGUGGGGGAUAACGUAGCGAAAGUUACGCUAAUACCGCAUACGAUCUACGGAUGAAAGUGGGGGAUCGCAAGACCUCAUGCUCAUGGAGCGGCCGAUAUCUGAUUAGCUAGUUGGUGGGGUAAAAGCCUACCAAGGCGACGAUCAGUAGCUGGUCUGAGAGGACGGCCAGCCACACUGGAACUGAGACACGGUCCAGACUCCUACGGGAGGCAGCAGUGGGGAAUUUUGGACAAUGGGGGCAACCCUGAUCCAGCAAUGCCGCGUGAGUGAAGAAGGCCUUCGGGUUGUAAAGCUCUUUUGUCAGGGAAGAAACGGGAUUUUCUAAUACAAAGUCCUAAUGACGGUACCUGAAGAAUAAGCACCGGCUAACUACGUGCCAGCAGCCGCGGUAAUACGUAGGGUGCAAGCGUUAAUCGGAAUUACUGGGCGUAAAGCGUGCGCAGGCGGUUGUGCAAGACAGAUGUGAAAUCCCCGGGCUCAACCUGGGAAUUGCAUUUGUGACUGCACGGCUAGAGUGUGUCAGAGGGGGGUAGAAUUCCACGUGUAGCAGUGAAAUGCGUAGAGAUGUGGAGGAAUACCGAUGGCGAAGGCAGCCCCCUGGGAUAACACUGACGCUCAUGCACGAAAGCGUGGGGAGCAAACAGGAUUAGAUACCCUGGUAGUCCACGCCCUAAACGAUGUCUACUAGUUGUCGGGUCUUAAUUGACUUGGUAACGCAGCUAACGCGUGAAGUAGACCGCCUGGGGAGUACGGUCGCAAGAUUAAAACUCAAAGGAAUUGACGGGGACCCGCACAAGCGGUGGAUGAUGUGGAUUAAUUCGAUGCAACGCGAAAAACCUUACCUACCCUUGACAUGUACGGAACUUACCAGAGAUGGUUUGGUGCUCGAAAGAGAACCGUAACACAGGUGCUGCAUGGCUGUCGUCAGCUCGUGUCGUGAGAUGUUGGGUUAAGUCCCGCAACGAGCGCAACCCUUGUCAUUAGUUGCUACGAAAGGGCACUCUAAUGAGACUGCCGGUGACAAACCGGAGGAAGGUGGGGAUGACGUCAAGUCCUCAUGGCCCUUAUGGUAGGGCUUCACACGUCAUACAAUGGUACAUACAGAGGGCCGCCAACCCGCGAGGGGGAGCUAAUCCCAGAAAGUGUAUCGUAGUCCGGAUUAUAGUCUGCAACUCGACUACAUGAAGUUGGAAUCGCUAGUAAUCGCGGAUCAGCAUGUCGCGGUGAAUACGUUCCCGGGUCUUGUACACACCGCCCGUCACACAUGGGAGCGGGUUUCACCAGAAGUAGGUAGCCUAACCGCAAGGAGGGCGCUUACCACGGUGGGAUUCGUGACUGGGGUGAAGUCGUAACAAGGUA